UAUGAAGGGGACUAGCGUUGUUCGGAAUCACUGGGCGUAAAGCGCACGUAGGCGGAUGUGUCAGUCAGGGGUGAAAUCCCGGGGCUCAACCUCGGAACUGCCUUUGAUACAGCACGUCUCGAGUCCGGAAGAGGUGGGUGGAAUUCCUAGUGUAGGGGUGAAAUUCGUAGAUAUUAGGAAGAACACCGGUGGCGAAGGCGGCCCACUGGUCCGGUACUGACGCUGAGGUGCGAAAGCGUGGGGAGCAAACAGG
rnacentral:rRNA from 1 species